AACAGAACCACAGGGUCACCAACGGAACCACAUAACAGAAGAACCAGGUCACCAACAGAACCACAGAGUGACCAACAGAACCACAGAGUGACAAACAGAACCACCAGGUCACCAACAGAACCACAGAGUGACCAACAGAACCACCAGGUCACCAACAGAACCACAGAGUGACCAACAGAACCACAGAGUGACAAACAGAACCACCAGGUCGCCAACAGAACCACAGAGUGACCAACAGAACCACCAGGUCACCAACAGAACCACAGAGUGACCAACAGAACCACAGAGUGACAAACAGAACCACCAGGUCGCCAACAGAACCACAGAGUGACAAACAGAACCACCAGGUCACCAACAGAACCACAGAGUGACCAACAGAACCACAGAGAGACCAACAGAACCACCAGGUCACCAACAGAACCACAGAGUGACCAACAGAACCACCAGGUCACCAACAGAACCACAGAGUGACCAACAGAACCACAGAGUGACCAACAGAACCACCAGGUCACCAACAGAACCACAGAGAGACCAACAGAACCACCAGGUCACCAACAGAACCACAGAGUGACCAACAGAACCACCAGGUCACCAACAGAACCGCCAGGUCACCAACAGAACCACCAGGUCACCAACAGAACCAGAGAGUGACAAACAGAACCACCAGGUCACCAACAGAACCACAGAGUGACCAACAGAACCACAGAGUGACCAACAGAACCACCAGGUCACCAACAGAACCACAGAGUGACCAACAGAACCACCAGGUCACCAACAGAACCACAGAGUGACCAACAGAACCACAGAGUGACAAACAGAACCACCAGGUCACCAACAGAACCACCAGGUCACCAACAGAACCGCCAGGUCACCAACAGAACCACAGAGUGACCAACAGAACCACAGAGUGACAAACAGAACCACCAGGUCACCAACAGAACCACAGAGUGACCAACAGAACCACAGAAUGACCAACAGAACCACCAGGUCACCAACAGAACCACAGAGUGACCAACAGAACCACCAGGUCACCAACAGAACCACAGAGUGACCAACAGAACCACAGAAUGACCAACAGAACCACAGAGUGACCAACAGAACCACCAGGUCACCAACAGAACCACCAGGUCACCAACAGAACCGCCAGGUCACCAACAGAACCACAGAGUGACCAACAGAACCACAGAGUGACAAACAGAACCACCAGGUCACCAACAGAACCACAGAGUGACCAACAGAACCACAGAAUGACCAACAGAACCACCAGGUCACCAACAGAACCACAGAGUGACCAACAGAACCACCAGGUCACCAACAGAACCACAGAGUGACCAACAGAACCACAGAGUGACCAACAGAACCACCAGGUCACCAACAGAACCACAGAGUGACCAACAGAACCACCAGGUCACCAACAGAUCCACAGAGUGACCAACAGAACCACAGAGUGACCAACAGAACCACCAGGUCACCAACAGAACCACAGAGUGACCAACAGAACCACCAGGUCACCAACAGAACCACAGAGUGACCAACAGAACCACAGAGUGACAAACAGAACCACCAGGUCGCCAACAGAACCACAGAGUGACCAACAGAACCACAGAGAGACCAACAGAACCACCAGGUCACCAACAGAACCACAGAGAGACCAACAGAACCACCAGGUCACCAACAGAACCACAGAGUGACCAACAGAACCACAGAGUGACCAACAGAACCACCAGGUCACCAACAGAACCACAGAGAGACCAACAGAACCACCAGGUCACCAACAGAACCACAGAGAGACCAACAGAACCACCAGGUCACCAACAGAACCACAGAGUGACCAACAGAACCACAGAGAGACCAACAGAACCACAGAGUGACCAACAGAACCACAGAGUGACCAACAGAACCACCAGGUCACCAACAGAACCACAGAGUGACCAACAGAACCACAGAAUGACCAACAGAACCACCAGGUCACCAACAGAACCACAGAGUGACCAACAGAACCACCAGGUCACCAACAGAACCACAGAGUGACCAACAGAACCACAGAAUGACCAACAGAACCACAGAGUGACCAACAGAACCACCAGGUCACCAACAGAACCACCAGGUCACCAACAGAACCGCCAGGUCACCAACAGAACCACAGAGUGACCAACAGAACCACAGAGUGACAAACAGAACCACCAGGUCACCAACAGAACCACAGAGUGACCAACAGAACCACAGAAUGACCAACAGAACCACCAGGUCACCAACAGAACCACAGAGUGACCAACAGAACCACCAGGUCACCAACAGAUCCACAGAGUGACCAACAGAACCACAGAAUGACCAACAGAACCACAGAGAGACCAACAGAACCACCAGGUCACCAACAGAACCACAGAGUGACCAACAGAACCACAGAGUGACCAACAGAACCACCAGGUCACCAACAGAUCCACAGAGUGACCAACAGAACCACAGAA